rnacentral:rRNA from 1 species
GAGUUUGAUCCUGGCUCAGGACGAACGCUGGCGGCGUGCUUAAUACAUGCAAGUCGAACGAGAAGCCACCGCUCCGUAAGGAGUGGUGGUGGAAAGUGGCGAACGGGUGAGUAACACGUGGGCAACGUGCCCUGGACUCUGGGAUAACAGCGGGAAACCGCUGCUAAUACCGGAUGACCCUGCAAUGUCGCAUGACGUAGCAGGCAAAGAAUUUCGGUCCAGGAUCGGCCCGCGGUGUAUCAGCUUGUUGGUGGGGUAACGGCCUACCAAGGCUUUGACGCAUAGCUGGCGUGAGAGCGCGACCAGCCACACUGGGACUGAGACACGGCCCAGACUCCUACGGGAGGCAGCAGUAGGGAAUCUUGCGCAAUGGGCGAAAGCCUGACGCAGCGACGCCGCGUGAGGGAUGAAUGCCUUCGGGUUGUAAACCUCUUUCAGCAGGGACGAAGCCUUACGGUGACGGUACCUGCAGAAGAAGCCCCGGCCAACUACGUGCCAGCAGCCGCGGUAAUACGUAGGGGGCAAGCGUUGUCCGGAUUUAUUGGGCGUAAAGAGCUCGUAGGCGGCUGGUCACGUCGGAUGUGAAAGCUCAGAGCUCAACUCUGAGAGGCCAUUCGAUACGGAUCAGCUAGAGGUAGGUAGGGGAAAGUGGAAUUCCUGGUGUAGCGGUGAAAUGCGCAGAUAUCAGGAGGAACACCGGUGGCGAAGGCGGCUUUCUGGGCCUUACCUGACGCUGAGGAGCGAAAGCUGGGGGAGCGAACAGGAUUAGAUACCCUGGUAGUCCCAGCCGUAAACGUUGA